GACGAACGCUGGCGGCGUGCUUAACACAUGCAAGUCGAACGGAAAGGCCCUGCUUUUGUGGGGUGCCCGAGUGGCGAACGGGUGAGUAACACGUGAGUAACCUGCCCUUGACUUUGGGAUAACUUCAGGAAACUGGGGCUAAUACCGGAUAGCAGCUCCUGCUGCAUGGUGGGGGUUGGAACGUUUAGGCGGUUGGGGAUGGACUCGCGGCUUAUCAGCUAGUUGGUGGGGUAGUGGCUUGCCAAGGCAUUGGCGGGUAGCCGGCCCGAGUGGGUGGCCGGCCACAUUGGGACUGAGAGACGGCCCAGAGUGCUACAGGAGGCAGCAGGGGGGAGUAUUGCACAGUGGGCGGGAGCCUGAGGCGGCAACGCCGCGUGCGGGAUGCCGGCCUUCGGGUUGUAAACCGCUUUCGCCUGUGACGAAGCGUGAGUGACGGUAAUGGGUAAAGAAGCACCGGCUAACUACGUG
rnacentral:rRNA from 1 species